rnacentral:lncRNA from 1 species
GGCACAGGCUCAUGACUUUGUUGUUAACAUGACUGAAUAGAAUCAUUGUUUGUAAACUAGGCAGGUGCUUGGCGGCGAGUAGCAAGCAGUUCAUCCAAUCAAUCUUGUAACCCUGAUUUAUGAAUAAGGCUUCUGUGAUGAGUAGAUGUUGAGCCCUGAGAGCACAUCAAAACUGGGUCAUGGGGAACUUCAUACAUAAAUUAAGUACAAUGAGAUUCUGGGAACUCUAUUCAUUGGCAUCAACUGAGGAGAUGAUUUGUUUAGACAGUAACAUAACUUUAAUUUUCUUCUCUAAAAUAAGUCAUUGCAAAAGUGAUUAUUCUCAAAUAUAAAAUUUUAAAUAUUCUAUAAUAUGUCUUUACAAUCGUUUAUAUACAUUAUAUACAUGUAAGGCCACUUAAUUUUUUUUUACUUUUAGAAAAUCUCAUUUUUAACUGGACUCAGACAGAGGUAGAAGCUCUCAGGGAGGAUAGUCUCUGUCUCUUGGCAAUCUGUUUCUGGCAUUUUUCUCUCACGUCCUUCACUGUCUUGGCCAAAAGUUUAGCAAAUUUGGCAGCCUCUUCCCUGUUCUUAGUAACUGUUUCUUUGGAGCAAUACACUGACUUUUGUCUUAGAGGACACGUGGUGAAACAAGAUGCUGAAUCUUGAGCACUUUGUUUCUAGAUUUCUUCUCUGAUUAGUGGCAUUCUCACAACAUACUGGUGGACAUCUUCUUCAGAGAGGUCAACAAGUUUGUGGAUUCUGCUAACUCUUUUGGGACCCAGGAAAGAGGUGCAGUAAUAUGGUCCUCCUUGGUCUGUAGCAGGAAUGCUCCCUACUCAGCAACAGGUGGACAUGCCCAUGGAUCAAGACACCCUGCUUCAUGAGGAAGCCUUGUUUGUCAUUGUCACCACUGAUUCAGACCACAUAACCCUUCCAAUUCUUCACCCAGAGCAUCAGCAGCAACUUCUGUGGCCAUACGCUUCUCAUAAAAGGUUCAUACUGCACCCUACCCAAACAUGUGAGAUCUCUUCAAUGGACUACAGAUAAUAGGCAUAUUCUCAGAGAGACUGUGACAGUUACAUUUGCGGGAGCUUUGCACAACGUGAGAUUUACGCUGUAUGGUAAGCCUGAUUCAGACCUAAACCUAUGAUCCCCUGAGGUGAGUUAUGGAAACAUACUAUUGGAUGAAAACUGCACUGUAAGAUUUCUCGGCAGCCAGUGGUUCUGAAUACUGGCUAUGCACCUAAAUCAAUGUGGAGUGGUCAAAAUAUUUGCUGCUGAGACUAAAUUGCUGGAUAUUCUAAACUGAAAGUUUGGAUCGAACCCAAGGUAUCUGUAUUUUCCUCAGAUUUCACAAGUAGUUGCUUAUCUAUGUAACCACAUUGCUAUGAAUAUUCAUGAUUUAAGUAAAUAGGGAUGAAAACAUCAGAAAGUUAUCUGAAAAUCACUUACAACUUUAAAAAAAUGUAAUAACUAAUAAGCUUCACCUCCUCUCUUGUGUGAGGUAAGUUUUAUGAAAAAUUUUAUGAAAUUCUUUCUUAUUCCCGAAAUCUCUACUAGGCCAAAUUCACAAUCUGUUUUACUAAUGUGGGGUGGCUAGGUGGAUGCCAAGUUAGGUGGAUGAGUGGAUGGAUGAAGGAUGGACGAUGGAUGGAUUGGUAAGUGUGUAGAUAGCCCUGGUACAGAUGCACAGAUGACGCACUGGAGGUAUGUAAUGAGCGGAAGAUGAAGGAUUAAUGGGCGGGAUGGCAAGUAGCUGGGUUGACUACUUGCAAGUAGCUGAAGUGAUAAAUGGAAAACCCCGUGAAGUAAUGGAUGGAUAAAUGAGUGACUAAAGGAUGAUUAAAGGAUGAGGAGCAAUAAAAUUUCUAGAGUCUCUUUGUAAUGUUUAACG